rnacentral:rRNA from 1 species
GGAAUAUUGGGCAAUGGACGCAAGUCUGACCCAGCAACGCCGCGAGAAGGAAGAAGGCUUUCGGGUUGUAAACUUCUUUUAAGGGGGAAGAGCAGAAGACGGUACUCCUUGAAUAAGCCACGGCUAACUAAGUGCCAGCAGCCGCGGUAAUACGUAGGUGGCAAGCGUUGUCCGGAUUUACUGGGUGUAAUGGGCGUGCAGCCGGAGAGACAAGUCAGAUGUGAAAUCCACAGGCUCAAACUGUGAACUGCAUUUGAAACUGUUUCCCUUGAGUAUCGGAGAGGUCAUCGGAAUUCCUAGUGUAGCGGUGAAAUGCGUAGAUAUUAGGAAGAACACCAGUGGCGAAGGCGGAUGACUGGACGACAACUGACGGUGAGGCGCGAAAGCGUGGGGAGCAAA